CUUGGUGAUGCCAUAGGGUGGCCCCCAUCAUGUUCCUUGUGCGUGAUAUGACAAAACCACCACAUCAUUGUUAACCGUCCCAUCCUUACAUCCGCAACCUUGUCAUUAUCUUCAACAAUUCAACUGAAAUAAUAAACCGGGCAACAGCCCUUUGAACUGUAA